GUGCCAGCCGCCGCGGUAAUACAGAGGGGGCAAGCGUUAUUCGGAAUUAUUGGGCGUAAAGGGCGCGUAGGCGGCCCUUCAAGUGGUAGGUGAAAUCCCUCGGCUCAACCGAGGAGCUGCCCGCCAAACUGAAGAGCUUGAGUCCGGGAGAGGUGAGUGGAAUUCCCAGUGUAGCGGUGAAAUGCGUAGAUAUUGGGAGGAACACCAGUGGCGAAGGCGGCUCACUGGACCGGAACUGACGCUGAGGCGCGAAAGCGUGGGGAGCAAACGGGAUUAGAUACCCCGGUAGUCCACGCUGUAAACGAUGGAUGCUAGCCGUUGGCGGGUUUACUCGUCAGUGGCGCAGCUAACGCAUUAAGCAUCCCGCCUGGGGAGUACGGUCGCAAGAUUAAA
rnacentral:rRNA from 1 species